rnacentral:SRP_RNA from 14 species
CGGAAGGAAGCAGCGCCCACCUCAUUUGCCGUGUGCACG